rnacentral:rRNA from 1 species
UACGUAGGGGGCAAGCGUUGUCCGGAUUUAUUGGGCGUAAAGCGCUCGCAGGUGGUUCGUCGCGUCGUGCGUGAAAGACCCCGGCUCAACUGGGGAGGGUCGUGCGAAACGGGUGAACUAGAGGCCAGUAGGGGGAUGCGGAAUUCCGGGUGUAGUGGUGGAAUGCGUAGAGAUCCGGAGGAACACCAGCGGCGAAGGCGGCAUCCUGGACUGGUCCUGACACUCAGGAGCGAAAGCGUGGGGAGCGAUCCGG